rnacentral:rRNA from 1 species
UGGCGACCGGCGCACGGGUGAGUAACACGUAUCCAACCUGCCGAUGACUCGGGGAUAGCCUUUCGAAAGAAAGAUUAAUACCCGAUGGCAUAGUUCUUCCGCAUGGUAGAACUAUUAAAGAAUUUCGGUCAUCGAUGGGGAUGUGUUCCAUUAGCUUGUUGGCGGGGUAACGGCCCACCAAGGCAUCGAUGGAUAGGGGUUCUGAGAGGAAGGUCCCCCACAUUGGAACUGAGACACGGUCCAAACUCCUACGGGAGGCAGCAG